rnacentral:tRNA from 1 species
AUCGAAAUAAAGGAAAUUGAAGCUGCUAACUUUGAUUGGGGAUAUAUAUUCCUUAUUUCU